ACAUUGCGCCCCUCGGUAUCCCGGGGGGCAUGCCUGUUCGAGCGUCAUUUCUACCACUCAAGUUUAACUUGGUAUUGGGUGUUGUAGCCUCUUUUAAGGGGCUACAUACCUUAAAUUUAGCCGGCAACAAGCACCAGUUCCGAGCGUAGCAGUAAAACAUUUCGCUUUGGGAGCCUUGGAGUAUUGUUCACCGCAAGAAUCUUUAUAGUUUGACCUCGGAUCAGGCAGGGAUACCCGCUGAACUUAAGCAUAUCAAUAAGCGGAGGAAAAGAAACCAACAGGGAUUGCCUUAGUAACGGCGAGUGAAGCGGCAAUAGCUCAAAUUUGAAAUCUGGCGUCUUUGGGCGUCCGAGUUGUAAUUUGUAGAGGAUGUUUCGGUAUUGUCUCCAGUCUAAGUCCCUUGGAACAGGGCGUCGCAGAGGGUGAGAAUCCCGUACGCGACUGGAUGCCUUUGCCAUGUGAAACUCCUUCGACGAGUCGAGUUGUUUGGGAAUGCAGCUCUAAUUGGGAGGUAAAUUUCUUCUAAAGCUAAAUACUGGCCAGAGACCGAUAGCGCACAAGUAGAGUGAUCGAAAGAUGAAAAGCACUUUGGAAAGAGAGUUAAAAAGUACGUGAAAUUGUUGAAAGGGAAGCGCUUGCAAUCAGACCUGCUUGUAGUUGUUCAUCUAGACCUCAAGUCUAGUGCACUCUUCUGCAAGUCAGGCCAGUAUCGGUUCGGGCGGUUGGAUAAAGAUUUCAGGAAUGUAGCUCCUUUCGGGGAG
rnacentral:rRNA from 1 species